rnacentral:misc_RNA from 1 species
UUUCCGUAGGUGAACCUGCGGAAGGAUCAUUAAAAAAUUGGACUCCAUUGGUGAGUUCAUUAAUAAUCCCUACCCUUUGUGAAUUUGUUUGUUUGAAUAAUUUUUUUUCCAAAAAAAAUUAUUGAAUGUCUUUCCUUGUUUUGGUGGAGCUUGUAAAGUGAAACCAGGCAGGGGAAUGGCAAACAAUAAUUAUUUUUGAAAAAGACCUUUUUUUAAAAUUAAACUUUUUGUAUUCAUUUGUCUAAAAUUAAUUUUUAUAAUAUAAAAACAACUUUUGACAAUGGAUCUCUUGGUUCUCGCAACGAUGAAGAACGCAGCAAAAUGCGAUAAGUAGUGUGAAUUGCAGAAUACGUGAAUCAUCGAAUCUUCGAACGCAUAUUGCACUUUUUUAGUUUACUAAAAAAGUAUGUCUGUUUGAGUAUCAGUAAAAUAUUCUCAUAAAAAACAUUGUUUUUUUUAUGGUUAUGAGUGUUUUACAACGAUAACAAGUUGUUUCACUUUAAAUUCUUUGUUAUCAAAAAAAUCAUUAAAAGCUAAUUUUAAAGAUUUUUUAAAAUUGGAUAAAAUUUUCCCGUAAAAAGGAAUAACCUAAACAAUUUUAAAAAAUUAAAAUUGGUUUGAUUUUUUUGAAACCCAAAGGAAAAAAAACGAAAUUAACUUGAUCUCAAAUCAGAUAAGAGUACCCGCUGAACUUAAGCAUAUCAAUAAGCGGAGGAAAAGAAACUAACUAGGAUUCCCUCAGUAACGGCGAGUGAAGCGGGAAGAGCUCAAAUUUGAAAUCUUCAAGGUUUUACCUUGACGAAUUGUAGUUUAAAGAAGUGUUUUCUGUUGGAGUUUUGGUAAAAGUUCUUUGGAAAAGGACAUCGUAGAGGGUGAGAAUCCCGUAUUUGACCAUUAUCUCCAGCUUUGUGAUACACUUUCAAAGAGUCGGAUUGUUUGGGAAUGCAGUCCAAAAUGGGUGGUAAAUUUCAUCUAAAGCUAAAUACUGGCGAGAGACCGAUAGCGAACAAGUACCGUGAGGGAAAGAUGAAAAGAACUUUGAAAAGAGAGUUAAACAGUACGUGAAAUUGUCAAAAGGGAAGCGUUUGACACCAGUGUUGUUUUCUCGAAAAUCAAUUAAAAAAGGCCGGAUUUUGUGUUGUAUUGACUUUAUCAGCUUUCUGCACUCUUUUCUUGUCUUUUUUAAUGCACUUUUCGUUUAACAAGUCAACAUCAAUUUCUUUUGUUGUAAAAGGGUCAUUGGAAGGUGGCUUUCUUUUCGGAGAAAGUGUUUAUAGCCUUUGGCCUCUGCAAUCGGAGAGAUUGAGGUCUGCAGCGUAGAUCCUUCGGGAUUAGAUACAUUUGUGCUAAGUUAUAGCCUUUCAUAGACAACUUGUUGACUAUGAUCAGUCAUGUAGCUUACUCGCUUAUGCUAUUUUACCUACGCUUAGGAUGUUG